AGAGAGAGACAUGCGCCAUAUCAAUAAGCGGAGGAAAAGGAACUAACAAGGAUUCCCCUAGUAACGGCGAGUGAAGCGGGAAGAGCUCAAAUUUGAAAUCUUAAAGGGUUUCCCUUUACGAAUUGUAGUUUAAAGAAGUGUUUUCUGUUGAGGUUUUGGUAAAGGUUCUUUGGAAUAGGACAUCAUAGAGGGUGAGAAUCCCGUAUUUGACCUUUACUUUCAACUUUGUGAUACACUUUCAAAGAGUCGGAUUGUUUGGGAAUGCAGUCCAAAAUGGGUGGUAAAUUUCAUCUAAAGCUAAAUAUUGGCGAGAGACCGAUAGCGAACAAGUACCGUGAGGGAAAGAUGAAAAGAACUUUGAAAAGAGAGUUAAACAGUACGUGAAAUUGUCAAAAGGGAAGCGUUUGACACCAGUGUUGUUUUUCUGAAAAUCAAUUAAAGAACUGUUUAUGCUAAGCUGUUUAGACUUUAUCAGCUAACUGUUUAGUUUUGAGCUUUUCUUUAAUGCACUUUUCAGUUAACAAGUCAACAUCAAUUUCUUUUGCUGUAAAAAAGCUUGAGGAAGGUGGCUUGAGAUUCGUCUUAAGUGUUUAUAGCCUCUUGCCUAUGCAGUCGGAGAGAUUGAGGUCUGCAGCGUAGAUCCUUCGGGGCUAAAUGCAUUUGUGCUAAGUUAUAGCAUUUUAUAGACAACUUGUUGACUAUGAUUUGUCUUGUAGCUUACUCGCUUAUGUUAUUUUACCUACGCUUAGGAUGUUGAGCGCAUGUCUCUCUCU
rnacentral:rRNA from 1 species